rnacentral:rRNA from 1 species
GCCAGACUCCUACGGGAGGCAGCAGUGGGGAAUAUUGCACAAUGGGGGGAACCCUGAUGCAGCGACGCCGCGUGGGUGAAGGAGUAUUUCGGUAUGUAAAGCCCUAUCAGCAGGGAAGAACAAUGACGGUACCUGACUAAGAAGCACCGGCUAAAUACGUGCCAGCAGCCGCGGUAAUACGUAGGGGGCAAGCGUUAUCCGGAUUUACUGGGUGUAAAGGGAGCGUAGACGGACUUGCAAGUCUGAUGUGAAAAUCCGGGGCCCAACCCCGGAACUGCAUUGGAAACUGUAUAUCUAGAGUGUCGGAGAGGCAAGUGGAAUUCCUGGUGUAGCGGUGAAAUGCGUAGAUAUCAGGAGGAACACCAGUGGCGAAGGCGGCUUGCUGGACGAUGACUGACGUUGAGGCUCGAAAGCGUGGGGAGCAAACAGGAUUAGAUACCCCCGUA